UGUGUGUGUGUGUGUGUGUGUGAUAGUUUAAUAUUUAGAUUUAAAAUUUAAUCACUAUAAAUAUUUUGAUGAACUCUAGUUAAUAUUAAAUAGCCUUUGUAAGAUAAUAUAAAAAGUAAAGUAAAUAUAAUGAAUUUAACUAAUGUUAUGUAAUAUUUUUAUUUAUUGGAUUAAUAAUAUUGAGAAUCUAAGAUUUAUCUUCUACUUUAUUCAAUUAAUUAUUUGUAUUGUCGUUAAGCUUGUAUGAUUGUAUAAUGUAUUACAAUAUAUUAUAAUUUAUUUUUGGUAUAAUAGUUAAUAUUUUUUUUGUUUUGGAGUUUACAUGAAGAUUUAGAUCCUCUAA
rnacentral:lncRNA from 1 species